CCUAUGUGAGUCAGAAUGGCAGCGAGGAAAGCAAAGGAAAGGAAAACUGUCAUUGUACUGCCAGCUCUCUCCUUCUGUGCCUCUCGCAAAAACUUGCUCCUUUCUUCUGACCUUUAAACUAGUCUUUAUUUUAGGGUUCAAGAAUAUCAACAGGGCUAUGGCAGUGGCAGCUAUGUCUAAAAGGAAGCACUUGGCUGUAAUCCCUGGAGGCAGAGCCAAGACCCCUUCACUCAACUAUGUAAGCAUCAAAGGUAUCCACAACAGAUGGAAAUACCACAGGGGGCUAAAACAGAAAAACAAGAAGAUGGAGAAUAUCACCUGGUGACUGAUGGCACUUCAUGAGUACAUGUGAAAUAUCCACUGGUACCUCUCAAACAAAUUGGAAAGACUGAAAAGAGAUGGAGAUACUGCAGUGGAUGGGGUGAGGAAGAUACUGCGGUGGGUGGAGAAAUAUAGAAAUCUUGAUUCCUAGAUGAGAAAAAAUGCAAAGGUCUCUCUAUCUCAACUUUUACAACUUCAGAUAGAACACAUAUUUUACAUCUUCUCAGAAACUCAGAAAGAAUAUGAUUGGAAAUGAAUGGCUGGAAUCACCAUGUGAUGAAUCAUGUACCAAAUGGCACGUGGAUGGUGACUAAUCCUUGAAGCCAAAGCUGAUAAAUGACUUCCAACUGAACAGUGACUGGAAGAUACAAGACUUUCUGUGAUUCUGUUAUUCUGUCUGUGAUUAGAGAGUUGUGACAACCUCUGUUCAUCAGAGGUUGGAUGAACUGUUCUGUAGUGGUUAAGGUGGGAGGCAAAUUGCUUUUUUGUUUUUGCUUAUUUCCUGUUUAUGCUAUUUAACAAAAUUGAAUCACAUUGGAUAAGACAUUUAAUUAUUCUAAGCUUAAUUUCCUUACCCAGAAAAUGAGGAUAAUAAUACAGUAUCACUUUUAUAAGGGAGAUGUGAAGAUUAAACCUAAUAAUGGAUAUAAAGUACUCAACACAUGUCUAGAGCAUAUCAAGUGCUCCUAAUGUUGUUACUGUUUCUAAAUUUGAAUUUUCUUCCUUGUGCUCAAAAAUGAUCCUUUUAAACUUGUUUUGUUGAAUGUUAUGAUUACAUUUACCUAACUCCAUUCCCUAUAAUUUCAUCUUCUCCAUUGUUUUAAAUUGCUUCUGAACCUCUUAAAAAUCACAUUUAAGUGAUUCAUAUGGGACGGUGACCACAUUCACAACACAUCAACAGCUUUGGUUUCCUUGAGGGCAGGGACUAAUGUUUUCUUCCUCACUGCUGCAUCAUCACCACCUGGAACAGUGAGUGCCUGACACAUAACUGGUGUUCAAAAAAUAUUUGUUGAAUGAAUGAAACGAGUUGGAAAUAAUUUAGUAAGACUAUACUAUUCUACAGAGACAUCUAGUAGGGAAGACACACAUAUAAACCAGUCACUUUGUAGUGUGAUGAGAAGUUUAUUCCCUGGGAACCAUGGGAGCAAUGUGGAUGCCAUUUAAGGCCUCAUCACUAAGACUUGUUAUCAGAUUCAUUUCCAGCCAAUUCAACUAGAUGACCUUAUUUUCAUGACUUCUUUUAUGACUAGACUUGUGGCAUAUAUCACUCCAUUCUGUUUCCUAGGAUAAGGAGAUAAAGCAGCAAGUGUUUGCCUCUGAUAAAAUGAAAAAGAACUGAAAAACUCUACUAUUAAUCUUAUAAGAAAUAUAUAGACUGGCAUGACUUGUACAUAAGCAAAGGAAAUCUUUUUUUCUCUAUUUUUUCUUCAAUACUAAUUUUGCUUCCCCUUGGGCUCUAAUCAGAUUAGGAAUUUGGCAAUUAAAUUAGAAAAUAAAUUCUAGUGGUAUAUAAAACUUGUAAAAAUAGAAUGGCUUAAUCAGCCUCUUCAAACAUUAUAGGCAAAGGCCCAUCCUUUCAAUGUUAACCUUAAAUGAAGUACCCAUUAAAUCUGAAUUGUUUUUCUUUUUCGUUGAAUAUGUGCCUUGAUUCUUUCUUCUUUAUCCUCCUCUUACAGUUAGUAAAAAUCUUGAAAGAGACAAUUGGGGAAAAUAAAGAAAGGCUGGAUUACCACCAGUAAUAACUGAAAAAUUGUAAAAGAUAGUCAUAACCAUUUUAUUCUCUAUAGGUAAGUAUUCCUUUUACUUGUGAUAUAUGCAGAUGGAUCAUUUUUAAUUCCAGAGGCACAAAACAACCUGAAUAUUUAGCAAAAUGUGUCCCGAAUUUGUAUCACAUUCUCCCUCAGUGUAUUUAUCAAAAAAGCAUACAUGCCCUUUGUACUAUUAUUUACCUAAUAGUUUCCUUAACUCAAAUUUUAAGUUU